rnacentral:tRNA from 1 species
CUGAUUUGUAAUCAGCAGGUUGCGGGUUCGAUUCCCAUCGCCAGCUCCA